CAUAAAGCGAGCGUAUACAUGCAAGUCGAGCGGAGAUGUUGGAGCUUGCUCCAACAUCUUAGCGGCGGACGGGUGAGUAACACGUGGGCAACCUGCCCUGCAGAUCGGGAUAACUCCGGGAAACCGGUGCUAAUACCGAAUAGUUUGCGGCCUCUCAUGAGGCCACACGGAAAGACGGUUUCGGCUGUCACUGCAGGAUGGGCCCGCGGCGCAUUAGCUAGUUGGUGAGGUAACGGCUCACCAAGGCCACGAUGCGUAGCCGACCUGAGAGGGUGAUCGGCCACACUGGGACUGAGACACGGCCCAGACUCCUACGGGAGGCAGCAGUAGGGAAUCUUCCGCAAUGGACGAAAGUCUGACGGAGCAACGCCGCGUGAGUGAAGAAGGUUUUCGGAUCGUAAAACUCUGUUGUGAGGGAAGAACAAGUACCAAGUAACUACUGGUACCUUGACGGUACCUCACCAGAAAGCCACGGCUAACUACGUGCCAGCAGCCGCGGUAAUACGUAGGUGGCAAGCGUUGUCCGGAAUUAUUGGGCGUAAAGCGCGCGCAGGCGGUCCUUUAAGUCUGAUGUGAAAGCCCACGGCUCAACCGUGGAGG
rnacentral:rRNA from 1 species